rnacentral:rRNA from 1 species
CCUACGGGAGGCAGCAGUGGGGAAUAUUGCACAAUGGGGGGAACCCUGAUGCAGCGACGCCGCGUGAGUGAAGAAGUAUUUCGGUAUGUAAAGCUCUAUCAGCAGGGAAGAAAAUGACGGUACCUGACUAAGAAGCCCCGGCUAACUACGUGCCAGCCGCCGCGGUAAUACGUAGGGGGCCAGCGUUAUCCGGAUUUACUGGGUGUAAAGGGAGCGUAGACGGCAGAGCAAGUCUGAAGUGAAAGCCCGGGGCCCAACUGCGGGACUGCUUUGGAAACUGCCCGGCUAGAGUGCGGGGGAGGUAGGCGGAAUUCGUAGUGUAGCGGUGAAAUGCGUAGAUAUUAGGAGGAACACCAGUGGCGAAGGCGGCUUGCUGGACAGUAACUGACGUUGAGGCUCGAAAGCGUGGGGAGCAAACAGGAUUAGAUACCCUUGUAGUC